AGCGUGUCGCCGCAGCUCUUAAACGACCUUCGACGCACCAAAUGACACCCCAUCGACAACAUGUGGCCGGCCGCAUCGCUCCUCCCCAACCCCCCGACUCCGCAACCCCGUCCCCGACUCUCCGGCGGGUCCCGACACCGCACCAGCGAACGCCGUCGAUGCCCUACGCUUACCGUGCUUUCCUCCUCCUCUUCCUCUUCCUCUAGCGACGCAAAGGAGGACCUGGUCACUGCCGCCGGGCGUCUCCUUUGGGGCCGCGGCCUCCCCCCUCAGGCCCUCGUCUCUGCCGUCCGAUCCGGAUGGUCUGCCGCGUGGCACCUAAUGAUGCGCCAACUCGCUCCCUCCUCCUCCUCCGCCGCCUCCCCACCUGGCUCCUACGCCCGUCCCACUUCCUCCUUUCCCUCGGUCCCCGCCUCGUACUGCCGGAACCCCAUGAACCUCCACCUCUACGUCGCCCUCCCUUGCCCCUGGGCGCACCGCGUCCUCGUCGUCCGCGCGCUUAAGGGCCUCCGCUCCGCGCUCCCCGUUUCCAUCGCGGCCCCCGGCCUCGAUGGCUCCUGGCUGUUCCGCCCCCGUGGACCCUCCGCCGUCGGCGAAGAUCUGAGACCCGGGCCCGACCGCGCCAAUGCGCGGAGUACGCUGAGGGAGGUGUACGGGCUCCGGAGGGGCGGCUACGACGGGAGGUCGACGGUGCCAAUGCUUUGGGACGCGGAGAGGAAGGAAGUGGUGUGCAACGAGAGCUACGCGAUCAUCGAGUUCUUGAACUCCGCUGACUUCGGUGGUGAGGUUCAUGGUGGCUCAGGGUUGGACCUCUGCCCGUCGGAGCUCAAAAACGAGAUCGACGACUGGAAUCGGGUGAUCUAUCCCAACGUUAACAAUGGGGUUUAUAGAUGCGGGUUUGCGCAGAGCCAAGAAGCAUAUGACACUGCAGUCAAUGGAUUGUUCAACACAUUGGAUAUGAUAGAAUCUCAUCUGUCUACCUCUCGCUACUUGUGUGGGGAUGCAUUGACUUUAGCUGAUGUCUGCCUAUUUACUACUUUGAUCCGUUUCGACCUUGUGUACAACGUCCUCUUCAAGUGCACAAAGAAGAAGCUACUUGAGUACCCCAAUCUUUAUGGCUAUACAUGUGAUAUGUAUCAGAUUCCAGAGGUUGUGAGUACUUGCAAUUUUGAGGCUAUCAUGGAUGGUUACUACUGUACUCUAUUUCCUCUGAAUCCUGGUGGGAUCCUGCCAGUCAUGCCUUCAGCUUGCAAUCAUGAUUUGCUUUCUAAACCGCAUAAUAGAGAAGCAUUAUCUUCGAGUGGCAAACAAAGCAUACAUGCUUCAGAAACCUAACAGUCAACUGCUUGUCUCAGAAAAACAAAUCAUUCAAAAUGUGGCACUACUAAUGCAGGAAAAUCAUACAAAUGUGCAUUGUGUGGAAAGAGUAAGAAUUGGGGAGCUAUCUAAGAGCAUUAAGCUAUCUACUUAAAUGAGCAGCUAUGUAUUGCAAUCCCAAGGGUUAUUUACUACCUUGCAAGCAUUUUAACCUAAAUCAAAAGCGAGCAAAAAGUGCAGCCGUCUCUGUCUAUUAUGGCCAUGUUUGCAACUGAAUAUUUGAAGGUGUGCCUUUCAGAUUCGGAAGCAAGCUUAUGAAUGCUGAUCGAGGAAUUAUCUACGGCAAAAGGCUUUUAGUGGUUCUGAGAGGCAUAAUUUGUCAAUCGUGUGAUAAAUGGUGAUAGCAAAAUGCCCCUCUAAACACAGUUCUCAGCAUAAGGAGAUCCAAAUUAACUUACAUUCAGAUUCAAAGUUGGCUAGCUACAAGGUACCGCAGGAAGAACGAUACUGGAAGAAGAUCUUGUUGGUUAUUGUUGUAAAAUAAAAUGUAACCAUGAUGAUGGUGUUCUCAAAACAUUUCUGUUGAUUUUGAGAAAUUCUAGAUAGUGAUUGUUAAUUUAUCUAUAUCUUCGUUC